rnacentral:rRNA from 1 species
CAGCGACGCCGCGUGGGUGAAGAAGCGCCUCGGCGCGUAAAGCCCUGUCAGCAGGGAAGAAAAUGACGGUACCUGAAGAAGAACGCCCCGGCUAACUACGUGCC